AUUAAUAAGGAUGAGUCUAUUUUCAGCCAAUGCUUAUGAGUAAAUUUCUCUGAGCAUGCUAGACAAGAACAUUAUUACACACAAUUCUAGUCCUCAGCAUUCAUCUGUGAGAAGGUUUCUGGACAGAACCUCAAGAAAUUGACUUCACUCAAAUAAUGCUAAAGGCCAGAGUUGGGAGAGAAAUUGUCCUAUAUACUGCCCUGUGACAGGAGCUAAGCUCAACACUGGAGAUGGAGGUGAAACUGUGGACAAAAUAUAUGAGAGACUGAGGCACACGGAAAUUAAGUGACUUGCCUUCAAGAAGUCAGACCUUAGAAUCUGGUCACUGACCCCGCAUGGUGACUCAACAGUUAUUUUUCCAUUCACCUGCUAACCAUGGCCCCGAAUUAAAAUCGAUUAAAAAGUACAGCAAGAGACCUACAAGUACACUUACAGGAAGCCCAGAGGUAAUGAGACUCCUGAAGAAGCUGAAGAGCUAAUGAGUCAUCUGUGAAUAAACUACAAAUUUCUUUUUCA